UGUGUGUGUGUGUGUGUGUGUGUGUGUGUGUGUGUGUUCUGGUAAUCAUCACGCGAUGGGGACCGUUGACUGUUUACACAGUCACGUCAUGGGGACCGGUUGCGCUUUGGGGACCAAAAUCCCGGUCCCCAUGAGGAUAACCCUUUUAAAUGACUACUAGAGCUACUCUGAAGGUGCCCGUGAAGUUUUAAGCAUUGGCCCAUACGACAUGUUUUUUGGUGAGUGUGAGUGUGUGAGCAUUGCUCAUUGGUGGCCCUACUGUUUCUAGUUAGUACUGCACCCACUGCUUCACACACACACAUCUUCCAAAUAUGGUUGGGUGCCACCCACUUCCUUGUCCCCAUUAGGAAUGAUUCAAGCAGCGAGGACAUUUUCAGCAUCAAGAGGUAGCUAUCAACAGUAAAAGAAGAUUAUUUGCUGGAGAAACUAGCUAAGAAGAUAAGAACAUGUGCAGAGGAGCAAAAGUAAAGCAUAAGUAUUGAUGCCUUCAGAGAAGAUGGCUCAAUUGGGUGACAAGUUAAUGAUGAACACAGACGUCCUUACUCCAAAAUGAAAAAAAUUGGUGUUAAUGGAGAACCCCACCUUUGUUUAUUUGCCCUGGAUGACAUCAAAGAAGGAGAAGAAAUCGCCUAUAACUAUAGAGGUGAAGACUGCCCAUGGCAAACACAGACGACCAGCAUCACUGUUAACACCAUGGAGGAGGAUGAUUCAGAUCCUGUCCACUCAGAGAGUCUGAUGGCUUGUGCCUUUGGGCCAAAGACACCACCUGAAGAGGUACAACUGCCCAAAAGAAGAAAACACCCUGGAAGGAGACAGACGUGAAGGCAGUGGAAAGGCACAUGAAUCGAUUCAUCACAUCUUGUAUUGCUCCAGCAAAGUUUGACUGUGAGAAGUGUUUAAGGGCUGAUCCAGAAGCUCUUAAGGACCGGAGCUGGCAGAAUGUGAAAUUCUACAUAUAUAACCGCAUUACAGCCAACAAGAGGAAAUUAAGUAAAUAAUGGGAAGAUUACCACCAGUAAGCGGUUGCCAUGUGGUUGUCUGAAAUUAAAAAUAUCUUACAAAUUUGACUGAAUAAGAAUUAUUCUUUGUAGGGAUAUAGAUAGCCCGUCACUGUUUGAUAAGUUUAUAUUCACUUCAACCACAUUACACUAAUAGUCCUAUCAAAUUCUGCUUCAUUGUAAGGCGUAGUUCAUGAACAGCAAGAUUUUCUGUACAAAGUGAUGCUUUGCAUCCCUAUCACCAUUUACAGGUAUCAUGUUAUAUCUCUACAUUUUCUAUCAACAACUUUUGUUCUUUUUUGCUAGACUUUAUUAGUUUUAAACAAACAGCUCUAACAAAUGUAAUAAUGGAAGGACUUACGGUAUCAGUAAUAAUGUAUAUAAAAAUGCUUUUUGAAGCAUGGUCCCCAUUAGUCUUAUAACAAGUUGUGUGAGUCAUGCAAAUGAUAUGUAAAUGAGGUCCCCAUCAGCCAUACCUACCCGUUUUUUCUAAGGUCCCCAUUUUGCACAGUCAAAACACUACUUCAUGAAUUUAGAUAUUUUAAGGUGUGUAUGUACUAACUGAUUUUUUCUUAGUGUCCCUGAUUUUUUUCAUACUUCCACAACCUCUAGAAAGGGUGGUCCCCACAGGUUAUGAUAAAAAGUGCACGCCCCGCAAACCAUGGAAACCAGUAUGUGUG